CGUGUAGGCGGCCAGGUAGGUCGGUUGUGAAAACUGGAGGCUCAACCUUCAGAGGUCGACCGAAACCAUCUGGCUAGAGUCCGGGAGAGGAGAGUGGAAUUCCUGGUGUAGCGGUGAAAUGCGCAGAUAUCAGGAAGAACACCCGUGGCGAAAGCGGCUCUCUGGAACGGUACUGACGCUGAGACGCGAAAGCGUGGGAGCGAACA
rnacentral:rRNA from 1 species